rnacentral:ncRNA from 1 species
GUAAAGGCGAUGAAGGUGUCAGUAGUAUUUCCUGUACCGGCAGAGAGGAGAAGCCAGUGGCUGAGAGCUUUUCCAGCAGGAUCGGAUACGAAUUUCCCACCGGAGCUGUUCGGCUGAAGAGAGCCUGCUGUCAGUGCUUUUGGGUAGGUCGGAACGCACAGGACACGUUACGUCUGCAAUGAGUGCCUGCCGAUGGCGGGAACAAGGGUGGUACCGCGGAAUUUUUUCGUCCCUGGU